GUGAGGAAUAUUGGACAAUGGGCGCAAGCCUGAUCCAGCCAUGUCGCGUGCAGGAAGACGCAUCUAUGGUGUGUAAACUGCUUUUGUACGGGAAGAAACACUCCCUCGUGAGGGAGCUUGACGGUACCGUAAGAAUAAGGAUCGGCUAACUCCGUGCCAGCAGCCGCGGUAAUACGGAGGAUCCAAGCGUUAUCCGGAAUCAUUGGGUUUAAAGGGUCCGUAGGCGGUUUAAUAAGUCAGUGGUGAAAGCCCAUCGCUCAACGAUGGAACGGCCAUUGAUACUGUUAGACUUGAAUUACAAGGAAGUAACUAGAAUAUGUAGUGUAGCGGUGAAAUGCUUAGAUAUUACAUGGAAUACCAAUUGCGAAGGCAGGUUACUACUUGUGGAUUGACGCUGAUGGACGAAAGCGUGGGGAGCGAACAGGAUUAGAAACCCCGGUAGUCC
rnacentral:rRNA from 1 species